rnacentral:tRNA from 4 species
UCCCCGAUAGCUCAGCGGUAGAGCACUCGACUGUUAAUCGAGCGGCCGUUGGUUCGAAUCCAACUCGGGGAGCCA